AUUGAACGCUGGCGGCAGGCCUAACACAUGCAAGUCGAACGAGUGGCGGACGGGUGAGUAAUGUCUGGGAAACUGCCCGAUGGAGGGGGAUAACUACUGGAAACGGUAGCUAAUACCGCAUACCAUCGGAUGUGCCCAGAUGGGAUUAGCUAGUAGGUGGGGUAACGGCGCACCUAGGCGACGAUCCCUAGCUGGUCUGAGAGGAUGACCAGCCACACGGGAAUGUAGACACGGUCCAGACUCUGCCGUGAGGAAGCAGUGGGGAAUAUUGCAAAAGGGGCGCUAGCCUGAUGCAGCCAUGCCGCGUGGAUGAAGAAGGCCUUCGGGUUGUAAAGUACUUUAAUAGAGGAGGCGUUACUCGCAGAAGAAGCACCGGCUAACUCCGUGCCAGCAGCCGCGGUAAUUG
rnacentral:rRNA from 1 species